UAUUGAUUUUGAAAUUCAUGAUACUUCCAACAUAGUAAAUGUAAAUGCAAACCGAGAUUAUAAUUAGUGUCUGUAAUGUGUAUGAACACGCCAAAUGUGAUGUUUUGUCAUGUUGAAAUGGGGUUGGGGAGGGGUGUAUGUGAACUAUAUAAACCUUCCGUGUAGAGUUUUUCCUCAAGUUCACUCUGUCAGGUGUAUUCAUCAUUUCACCUGUCGCUCUUGAGACUGUGCUGAAGAAUGAGGAAAUGCAGCUUGAACAACAUUACGACAGUACUAUUCAAAAACUCUGUUGCAGCUGAGCAGGAUAACAAUGAAUCUAACAAGCCAGAUCCUCAUGUUGGGCAGGAAGAAGAGAACACUGAAAGGGGAAACUGGAGCAGCAAAAGAGAGUACAUGCUGUCUAUGAUCGGCUAUGCCGUUGGUCUUGGAAAUGUGUGGAGAUUUCCCUACUUGGCUUACAAACAUGGGGGAGGGGCCUUCCUCAUCCCCUACAGUAUCAUGCUGGCUGUUGCUGGCCUUCCUUUGUUCUUCAUGGAGAGCUCUUUUGGACAGUUCUGCAGCCAAGGCCCCAUCAAUGUGUGGAAAGCAGUGCCUAUACUGCAAGGUGUUGGAAUCACAAUGAUGCUGGUUAGCACUUUUGUGGCAAUCUACUAUAAUGUGAUCAUUGCAUAUAGUAUCUACUACCUUUUUGCAUCUUUUCAAUAUCCUCUCCCUUGGAGUGUCAAGGACUGCAGCUCAACAGCUAACAACAUUACUGCUGCAUCACUGAAUGUGACUUCUGAGAAUCAAACCUGCCAGAAUGAAUUUGCAGCAGGCCAGAGCCCCAGCGAGAAAUACUGGGAUGAAGUGGCUCUUCAGCGUACUAGCAGUAUGAAUGAGACGGGGCCGGUGGUUUGGCAUCUGGCCCUUUGCCUGUUGCUCGCCUGGAUACUAGUCGGAGCAGCUCUCUUCAAAGGCAUAAAGUCCUCUGGGAAGGUGGUGUAUUUCACAGCUACUUUCCCAUACGUCGUUCUCUUUAUUCUACUGAUUCGUGGUGCGACUCUGGAGGGCGCAAAAGAUGGCAUUGAAUUCUAUAUCGGUUCAAAGUCCAACCUCACUAAACUGGCUGAUGCUGAGGUUUGGAAGGAUGCCGCUACUCAGAUCUUCUUUUCUCUCUCUGUUGCCUGGGGUGGUUUGAUGGCUCUGUCCUCGUACAAUAAGUUUUACAACAACUGCUACCAAGACUCCAUUAUAGUGUGUGUUACAAACUGUGGCACCAGUGUCUUCGCUGGCUUUGCCAUCUUUUCUAUUCUUGGACACAUGGCGCAUGUCUAUCAGAGACCGGUGUCAGAAGUUGCAGAUGCUGGUUUUGCAUUGGCCUUCAUCGCGUACCCUGAUGCUCUUUCUAAGCUGCCCAUUUCACCCCUGUGGUCAAUCCUGUUCUUCGUUAUGCUUAUUACCCUCGGCUUGGACUCCCAGUUUGCAGGAAUAGAGGUUAUCGCCACCUGCCUCCAGGAUGCCUAUCCCAAAGUUUUAAAGUCCAGACGAGGAAUUGUUACAACAGCAGUCUGCAUUGUUCUCUUUUUGCUCGGCUUGCCAUGUGUCACUGGGGCAGGAAUAUAUUGGGUGAAUUUAAUUGACACUUUUUGUGCUGGAUGGAUUCUCCUGGUCGCUGGAUUACUGGAGGUCUUAGGUCUAUCCAUCCUGUAUGGCGGAAAUCGAUUCAUCAAAGACAUUGAGAUGAUGAUUGGGACUAAGAGCGCCCUCUUCUGGUUAUGGUGGAGAGCUUGUUGGUUUUUUAUCACUCCAGUGGUUCUUUCUAUUAUUCUUGUAUGGUCUUUGUAUACUUUCAAUUCCCCCACAUAUGGCUCAGUUGCAUAUCCAGAUUGGGGAAUUUCUCUGGGCUGGUGUAUAAGUGCAUUUUGCCUCAUCUGGAUCCCUUUUGUUGCAGUCUGGAAAGUAUACAAAGCAAGUGGAGGCCCCUGGCAGCGUAUCAAAGCUGCCUGUUCACCCACAGAGGACUGGGGACCUUACCUGGAGUGCCACAGAGGGGAGCGCUAUGGUGCGAGAGGAGCAACUGAUGCAAAUAUAUUUGUAAUCUCAAAUAAUUUCACAACUAGAUUAUAAAAAAAGUAUGGUCAAGCAUAGUGUUUAAUGUAUUUAUGUGUAUAGGCAUAUGUAGCACUACAUUAAAUAAUAUUAAAAUUUUAAUGUAUAUAGUUGUAAUCCUUUAAUUUUGAUUGCAUAUGCAUUUUCGUUAGCGUUGCAUUGUAUUCUAUUGGACUUUUUUUUACCUUUUAAUGUUUACAUGUAUCUUUUUGUGUGCUCUUAUUGGA